CAAUAGCGUAUAUUAAAGUUGUUGCAGUUAAAAAGCUCGUAGUUGGAUUUCUGGUCGGAAGCUCCUGUCCUCUGAUGAGCGUACAAGUGCGUCCUACCAUCCUUCUGUUAACCUUUAAGGCUUUCGCGGCUUUCUAGGGGCUCAGAUAUUUUACCUUGAGAAAAUUAGAGUGUUUCAGGCAGGCUAGCGCCGGAAUACAUUAGCAUGGAAUAAUGGAAUAGGACUUUUGCCUCUUCUGUUGGUCAUGAGGCUCGAGUAAUGAUUAAUAGGGAUAGUUGGGGGCAUUAGUACUUAACUGUCAGAGGUGAAAUUCUCGGAUUUGUUAAAGACUGACUUAUGCGAAAGCAUUUGCCAAGGAUGUUUUCAUUA
rnacentral:rRNA from 1 species